UCACUCGCCGUUACUAAGGGAAUCCUUGUUAGUUUCUUUUCCUCCGCUUACUGAUAUGCUUAAGUUCAGCGGGUAAUCACGCCUGAUCUCAGGAUGUUGCAAACUGAUAUCUCAAUUCACCGCGCACAAUGCUUCCGCACGCACCCUUGCUAGGCAGCAGGAGCCGCACCGAACACGCAUUCACUAAUUAGUUACAGGCGCAUUUGGCACAGCCCAGGUGGGCGUACACACACACGAUACACGAUAAAGAUUCGGAAAGGAAUCGGCUAGCAACACUAGCAAUCCCUCACUUUGCAUUCCAUAGGAACAACUUUCUAGCUGCAACGGGCACCGCUACGCACGAAGCAAGCAGCACACGCCACGACAAGGCUUACAAGGCAGACAUCCUUGCAGAAGCACAGUACAGUACAGUCAUCCCUGAGACAGACGUGCCACCGAAUACACCCCGGCGGCGCCAUUUGCAUUCAACAUUUUAACACUCAUUGUUUCUGCAAUUCGUGUCACUUAUCGCAGCUAGCUGCGGUUUUCAUCGAUCCACAAGCCAAGUGAUCCACCACUGAUAGUUAUACUCUUUGCGUGCACAAGACACGACUUUGAACAUUCAAUAUUAUCUUCGGAUAGUAUGAGGUUUUGUGGGGUGCUGGCGCCGACCUGACAGACUGGCCGAUCUUUAAUGCUCGCUCAGCCGCCGCACACGCAGACGCGACAGAGCUCAAGCAAGACCUACUUCACGCCCCCCGGAUUAAGGGUGCGCUUCGGUGCUUGCUCAGCAACCAACUAAUCCGUACUUGCAACAAUCUACAGCCGUAUAUCAGACAAGAUACGAGAUCAAGCUCGACAAUGAUCCGCGGUCAGGUUCUCCUAAUCGCACCUUGUUACGACUUUUGCCCGGUUCAAGCCACUGCGAUUAAAGCGAUUUCCAUCACCGCAGGUUUUGACACCCUAGGCGACAGUCCUCGCGUUUCUCGAAGCAACUCAGUCCCGGGCAGCGACGGGCGGUGUGUACAAAGGGCAGGGACGUAAUCA
rnacentral:misc_RNA from 1 species